rnacentral:lncRNA from 1 species
UUCUAAUUACACAAAAAAAAAUCAAAAUAUUUAAUUGACAUGUUAAAAUAAAAAAUAUUUAAUUCAGAUAUUGUUUGUGUAACUAACUAAUUAACUAAACCGUGAGAACUGAGAAGUGCUUUUGAAUGCAGUUGCGAAGUUGGAAGUUGAAUUGCAAGCAACCAAACAAAGCAGUGUUGUUUGAUUUCUUUGACAUAAUAUGUCAAACAACAACAACAACAACAACAACAAACGCCGUUAUGUUCCUCCGACACAACCCGACACCGUUUUCCGCAUCAUCUCUUCCGCCGCAAAAUCCGAUUCUCUACUCUCUCUUUCCGGCGACGGUNNNN